AGUAUAUAGAUGUGUUACAUCGAUUACAUUCAGAUUAAAUAGGUGAGUGUGUGUAGUAGCAGACGGAAACAAAUCCCCUCCCCCCCAAAUGAAAGGAAAGAAAUAAGCCUCCGUCUCACGAGUGCACAGGGGUGUGUGGAUGAAAGAGAAGGCGUGCACAUAUAUGCCUUUUGCAGGCCAGCUACAACCGACUCUAUGUUCGUUCGAUAAUGAUCCUUCCGCAGGUUCACCUACGGAAA
rnacentral:misc_RNA from 1 species